AGCAGUCGCGCGGGAAUACGAAGGGUGCAAGCGUUUAUCGGAAUUACUGGGCGUAAAGCGUGCGUAGGCGGUGAGUUAAGUCUGCUGUGAAAUCCCCGGGCUCAACCUGGGAAUGGCAGUGGAUACUGGCUCGCUAGAGUGUGUCAGAGGAUGGUGGAAUUCCCGGUGUAGCGGUGAAAUGCGUAGAGAUCGGGAGGAACAUCAGUGGCGAAGGCGGCCAUCUGGGACAACACUGACGCUGAGGCACGAAAGCGUGGGGAGCAAACAGGAUUAGAUACCCCCGUAGUCCCUGUCUCUUAUACC
rnacentral:rRNA from 1 species